AUGAUAAAGGAUAGGAGUACCUCAGAGCUUCGUUUCUUUUGUCCAGUCCCCAGGAUUCCUGGCUGCGCUCCUCGUCCGGUUCUUCUUUGGCCUCCUCUGAGAGCUCUUCGUCACGCUUGUGUUUCCUCUGGUGGAAUCUGCCGGCCCUCCAUUCUCUUUUGUCUCUUCCAGUAUCAAAGUCCCAUGAUUCCUGGCUGCGUUCUUCAUCUGGUUCUUCUCUUGGUUCUUUUGAGAGCUCUUCGUCACGCUUGUGUCUCCUCUGGUGGAAUCUGCCGGCCCUCCAGUCUCUCUUGUCCCUUCCAGUAUCAAAGUCCCAUGAUUCUUGGCUGCGUUCCUCGUCUGGUUCAUCUCUGGCCUCCUCUGAGAGCUCUUCAUCACGCUUGUGUCUCCUCUGGUGGAAUCUGCCGGCCCUCCAGUCUCUCUUGUCCCUUCCAGUAUCAAAGUCCCAUGAUUCUUGGCUGCGUUCCUCAUCUGGUUCUUCUCUUGGUUCUUUUGAGAGCUCUUCGUCACGCUUGUGUCUCCUCUGGUGGAAUCUGCCGGCCCUCCAGUCUCUCUUGUCCCUUCCAGUAUCAAAGUCCCAUGAUUCUUGGCUGCGUUCCUCAUCGGGUUCGUCUCUGGCUUCCUCUGAGAGCUCUUCGUCACGCUUGUGCCUCCUCUGGUGGAACCUUCCAGCCCUCCAAUCGCGCUUGUUUUUUCCAGUAUCAAAGUCCCAGGAUUCCUGGCUGCGUUCUUCAUCGGGUUCGUCUCUGGCUUCCUCGGAGAGCUCUUCGUCACGCUUGUGCCUCCUCUGGUGGAACCUUCCAGCCCUCCAAUCGCGCUUGUUUUUUCCAGUAUCAAAGUCCCAGGAUUCCUGGCUGCGUUCCUCAUCGGGUUCUUCUCUGGCUUCCUCAGAGAGCUCUUCGUCACGCUUGUGUCUCCUCUGGUGGAACCUUCCAGCCCUCCAAUCGCGCUUGUUUUUUCCAGUAUCAAAGUCCCAGGAUUCCUGGCUGCGUUCCUCUUCUGGUUCUUCUCUUGGUUCUUCUGCAAGCUCUUCGUCACGUUUGUGUCUCCUCUGGUGGAACCUUCCGGCCCUCCAGUCCCUCUUGUCCCUCUCGUCGUCAAGGCCCCAAUAUUCCUGGCUGCGCUCGCCGUCUUCAUCCUCCUCGCCACGUUUGUGGAGCUUUGUCUUGUGUAGGUAGCGAUGCGUGGUCCCGUGCCUUUUGGCUAUGUCCCAGGACUCUUGGCUACGUUCUUCCUCGGGCUCCUCCCUCUCAUCUCCUAAAGUUUCCUCAUCUCGUUUUUGUUUCCUUUGGUGGUAUCUUCCGGGUCUCCAGUUCCUCUUCUCCUUGUCUUCCUCCUCUUCGUCUAACCUCCUCUUCUCCAGCCCCCAGCUCUCCUGACUGCGCUGGUUGUCUUCCUCUUCUUCCUCUUCCCCUCGUUUGUGCGCCCGUUGUUGGUGGUGUCUUCCGGGCCUCCAGCCGCUUCUCUUCUCCCGCUCUGCUUCAUCCGCCUCGUCCUCGUGUCUCUUGUCCUUCUCGUCGCCCAGGCUCCAGGACUCUUGGCUGCGCUCGUCUUCUGGGAUUUCUCGUUUUUCCUCGACAGAUUUCAGGAGAGCCUCGAUGUCUUUAACGUCUGCUCCCUUUGCCUCAGUCCCCUCGGGGUGACCUCUGACCGCCUCUCCAUUGGUCGCCGUCCCCUCCGUAGUCUUUUUGUCCAGUGGAGCGUUUUUAACCCCUGUGAGAGAACAAAAGAGUGAUCAAAAGAGGUGUUAGGAUCCACUUUGUGUGGCUCCUUUGAUCAAAAGGUUGCUAAAAAUCCACUUAAUCUAGCUCUUAGAGACAGCUAAUGAUUGAUUUCUUAUUGGACUUGAGCUUUUUGGUGAAAUCCUGUCUAGAUCAAAAUUGUGACCCACUUGUUUGAUAUUUAGGUCUCAUUAAAAGUUGUUGUACUGUACUGUAAUGCAGGAUAAGGGUCUCCUGAGUAUGUAUUAGUCUCUCUGACAACAUCUUAAUAGCUCUAUGCCACCAGCUCAUUGCCAAGAUAGUCGUGCUGCAUCGACAUCAUCCUCAACGCUCACUAGCUCUACGCACACUGGCCAAUUUCCUUCUGCUGCAAACCUGCUUGGAGGAUUUCUUUGCAUUGCUGAUCCAGCUGGGAGUCCGGUUUGGAGAGAGCUUUGGACAAGACUUCAACCAAGCAUCGUGUUACCUGCAACAGGCAAAACAUAAAUAAAGAUAUGAAGCUGAUCCCUCACAUGCUGCUUUAUCUGGCUUCAAUUUCUGCGCAGCUCUUGUUUUAAACUUCAUCUAUAAAAUGCGUACCACAUCUUCUCUCUGUCCUUCUUUUGCCACUGGAAGCGCUUGAUUUUCUGCAUUAGAGAGAAAAAAAGUGCUCAUGUUAAGGUUUCUCAUUUGCAGGAUGGAUUUGCAUGCAUUUAAGUAAAGCAGUCUCUGUCCAUGGUCCUGAACUGACGCUCACUAACUUGCAGCACGCUUGCAGGGAAUAAUAAUAAUAAUAAAAAAAUAAAAAAGCUCCAUCACUCUUCCACCUUACCUGUGAGCAAAGCCGCAACCGCAACAAAAACCCAAACAAGUCUCAUGUUGGCGGCCGGGAGGGAUAAAAAAAAUCCAGAAAGAAACUGUUGAUGGUGCAACAAGGCGACCGAGUCCAGUCCUCUCCGCGGAUGCAGGAGAGAGCUGCGCUGACCGGGGCGCCUGCUGCUCUGAGGAUCGGAGCGGAGGAGCUCCCAGAUAAAGAGAGGAGUGGGCUGGAGAAGGCGCGUGGGAGGAGGGCUCCGGGCUCUGUUUCUGUCAGGACCGAUUAGACCUGCAGAGAAGCGAGUGAUGUGUGAAUUGGUAAUCUAGUUAGUGUCACAGGUCGUCCGAGGCUGAUCGAUUAAACAGAUUGGCGGGGGAGGAGGGAGGAUUGGGGGAGUACACGCAUUGUUUUUUUGUUUUUUGUUUUUUUUUUGCGUUUGAAUGCCAGGAGGUGCCCGAGGACAGACAGGUGGUGGCGGACACGACAUCACGAAGAUCUCCUGACACUUUUGUGAGGAUUCGUGUUUUUGUUGUUGUAUGAUUCAGCCUGUGUUUGCGCUGCUCCCCACUCAAAAUGAAUAUUUGGAAGCAUCGAAGUUAAAGGAUUAGUUCACCCCAAAAUUUAAGAAAAGCAGUCAUUAUCUCCUCAAGCUGGUGGAAAGUCAGGUACAAGUUUUUUUUUUUA
rnacentral:lncRNA from 1 species